GCGGGGGUACCCGAGCGGUCAAAGGGGCAGGACUUAGGAUUCUGUGGCUCAGGCCUUCGUGGGUUCAAAUCCCACCCCCCGCA
rnacentral:tRNA from 2 species